rnacentral:tRNA from 2 species
AGUCUUAUAGUCAAUUUAUGAUAUUAGACUGCAAUUCUAAAGUUGUAGAUAUCUACUAAGACUU